GUGUAGGCUGUUGUUGACUCUCGUAUGAAAGCCCACGCGAUCCAAGUGCCCUGCAGGUUUUGGUCCAGGGAAAAGUUGGUCUCUGCAGAUGACUGUAAAUGACUACCUGGAGGUCGAUUAAAGUGCGGUACUGCGGGAUUCAGCCGAUUUCCUUCUUCCUCUGACUGCCCGGAAAUAUCAGCCAAAGGCCAGCGGGCUAUGUUUGAAGUAAACAUGAAAGAAAGAGAUGAUGGAAGUGUUACCAUUACUAAUUUGUCCUCCAAGGCAGUAAAAGCAUUUCUCGAUUAUGCCUAUACU
rnacentral:lncRNA from 1 species